GGAGCAGAGUCGGGAGUGGGAGGGAAAUACUGAAGAAGGGAAGGGGGGUCGCUAGAAGUCCAGGGGCGCAGGGAGAGACAGAGUCAGAGCUGCAGGAGAGGAUCACGUUACACUUCUCUGUAUCUCCAGCCCCCGCUCCUGAUCUGCGCGACCCCUCAGCCUGACUCGGCCAGUAUCUCCUGCCUGAGGAUCUGUCCCUGGUGCUGAAAGCCGGGCCCGCCUGUAGCGCAGAGAGAAGAAGCCGCGACAUCUCUGGCCCAGAGACACAGUCGCACUGGAGGAGUCGGGAGUCAAGGGCAACGUGUCGGGGGCGCGGGUUUAGUGGCAGGAGAGUCCGAGGCUGAGUGUGAGGCACAGGCCGGGGCAGCUGCUCUCAAACUGACACCAACUCGGGCCUUGAACAACCUCCGAUCCACCAGCUGUUCCUUAAUAAUCAUCUCACAGUUCAUAGAAGGACCCCCAUAAACCAAACACUGCAAGGACUCAAUAGGGAACCUCUUACUAGCAAGGACCCCCAGUCCAACUGUGACAAGUAGCUGAUUAACAGGAGAAGCCCCCAGGCCUCCAGGGACCAUACAAGAGACCCUCCCCAGGCUGGACACAAACUCAAAGUCCUUAGUUGGGACCCUCGUUAACAAAAGGAGACCAAAACAAGAGUGAAGUUCAAAACCCCCUGCAUGGAUCUCAUUAGUAAUAACCAAACCAGGUAACCAGGAACUCCUCCAAGAUUAUCCUCACUGGAGAAACCCUGGUCUACAUAUACAAAGAGCAACAAUUAAAGGUAAUCCACUCUUUUGCGUUUCUACCUAUAAACUGAUAUAUACAGGGGGAGGGGGAAGCAGAUCCUCCAGCACCUUGACAUGUAAAGGAAUUCUCCAACAAGUAACCCCAUUUAUAGGGUCCCAGUGACCAUUACUACAAACCUCUCUUGGUGUCCUAAUACCGGUCUCUGAAACCAGCAAGCUAAAACUUUCCUAGAGGCAAUUAAAGGUCAAGCACACCAGUCUACAGAUACUUCCAAGCAUGGACCUCUGAUCAGAAAAGGCACCCAUCAGCCCUACAGAUGAACAAGGUCAACGUUGACCUAGAUACCAUCAUCUCCCUGUGGAAAUUAGCACCCUCACAGGUCCCCCCAUCAUCAACCAACUUCAUUGCCUACCUGGAGUCAAUUUAACAUUUGUUCAAACAGAGGUGUCUUCACCCACUGGCGUACAAUAAACCAAGCCAAUGAUGAUUCAUUUCCCUCCUGAUGCUUUAUAACAGGAUAUAAGGCUGACAACAGAUUCUUUGGAAACAGGGAGAGCAGAGCCGACUUGGAGAUGGCGGAAGCUUUUGUCUGCAUGAUGCCAUCAAUAGACCAGAUUUUAAUCACCCCGUCAACAUCCACACUAGCCACCCGGCACCCGGAGCAGUCGACCCUGCCAGAGAAAAAGCAAUAAUGUUAACGGCUGGCAAAAAAUCUACUUUAAAUGGAUGGUUCACCUUUGAGUUAACUGUUAGUAUGAUGUAGAGAGUGAUAUCAUUAUUAUUAUUGACAUUUAUUUAUAUAGCGCCAGCAUAUUUCUCAGUGCUGUAAAGUAAAUGUGUUUAUACAACGAAAUCACAUGAAUUACAUACAUAGAACAUAUGGAGUUACAUACAACACAACCAAUAAGGUACAAAAGGCGAGGAAGGCCCUGUG